UACGUAGGGGGCGAGCGUUGUCCGGAUUUAUUGGGCGUAAAGAGCUCGUAGGCGGUUUGGUAAGUUGGAUGUGAAAUCUCCAGGCUCAACUUGGAGGGGUCAUUCGAUACUGCCAUGACUAGAGUUCGGUAGGGGAGUGUGGAAUCCCUGGUGGAGCGGUGAAAUGCGCAGAUAUCAGGAGGAACACCCGUAGCGAAGGCGGCACUCUGGGCCGGAACUGACGCUGAGGAGCGAAAGCGUGGGGAGCGAACAGG
rnacentral:rRNA from 1 species